UACGGUGACUCUAGCGGUGGGGAUCACCUCUUCCCAUCCCGAACAGAGAAGUUAAGCCCACCAGCGCAGAUGGUACUGCUGUAACAGGCGGAAGAGUAUGUCGUCGCCGAUU
rnacentral:rRNA from 1 species